rnacentral:rRNA from 1 species
AGCUCCAAUAGCGUAUAUUAAAGUUGCUGCAGUUAAAAAGCUCGUAGUUGCAUUUCCGAGGCAAGGGAUUAGUCCGACCUUUGGUGGGUAUUUAAUCCUCUUGCCUCGUCCUUGAGUGGUGCUUCUUGGUAUUAAGUUAUCGAGGAGAUAGCCGCUCAUCGUUUACUGUGAGAAAAUUAGAGUGUUCAAAGCAGGCUUAUGCCGUUGAAUAUAUUAGCAUGGAAUAAUAAGAUAGGACCUCGGUACUAUUUUGUGGGUUUGAGAACCAAGGUAAUGAUGAAUAGGGACAGUUGGGGGUAUUCGUAUUCAGUGGUCAGAGGUGAAAUUCUUAGAUUUACGGAAGACGAACUACUGCGAAAGCAUUUACCAAGGAUGUUUUCA